GGCGAUGAAGGACGUGCUAAUCUGCGAUAAGCGCCGGUAAGGUGAUAUGAACCGUUAUAACCGGCGAUUUCCGAAUGGGGAAACCCAGUGUGAUUCGUCACACUAUCAUUAACUGAAUCCAUAGGUUAAUGAGGCGAACCGGGGGAACUGAAACAUCUAAGUACCCCGAGGAAAAGAAAUCAACCGAGAUUCCCCCAGUAGCGGCGAGCGAACGGGGAGGAGCCCAGAGCCUGAAUCAGCAUGUGUGUUAGUGGAAGCGUCUGGAAAGGCGCGCGAUACAGGGUGACAGCCCCGUACACAAAAGCGCAUGUGCUGUGAGCUCGAUGAGUAGGGCGGGACACGUGGUAUCCUGUCUGAAUAUGGGGGGACCAUCCUCCAAGGCUAAAUACUCCUGACUGACCGAUAGUGAACCAGUACCGUGAGGGAAAGGCGAAAAGAACCCCGGCGAGGGGAGUGAAAAAGAACCUGAAACCGUGUACGUACAAGCAGUGGGAGCACAGGUUUACCUGUGUGACUGCGUACCUUUUGUAUAAUGGGUCAGCGACUUAUAUUCUGUAGCAAGGUUAACCGAAUAGGGGAGCCGGAGGGAAACCGAGUCUUAAU
rnacentral:rRNA from 1 species